UGGGGAAUAUUGCACAAUGGGCGGAAGCCUGAUGCAGCAACGCCGCGUGAGGGAUGACGGCCUUCGGGUUGUAAACCUCUUUUAGCAGGGAAGAAGCGAAAGUGACGGUACCUGCAGAAAAAGCACCGGCUAACUACGUGCCAGCAGCCGCGGUAAUACGUAGGGUGCAAGCGUUAUCCGGAAUUAUUGGGCGUAAAGAGCUCGUAGGCGGUUUGUCGCGUCUGCUGUGAAAUCCCGAGGCUCAACCUCGGGCCUGCAGUGGGUACGGGCAGACUAGAGUGCGGUAGGGGAGAUUGGAAUUCCUGGUGUAGCGGUGGAAUGCGCAGAUAUCAGGAGGAACACCGAUGGCGAAGGCAGAUCUCUGGGCCGUAACUGACGCUGAGGAGCGAAAGGGUGGGGAGCAAACA
rnacentral:rRNA from 1 species